CUUCUCCCCAUAUGGAGGGAAGAGAUAUGGUCUCCAUUUUGCUUCCCACCUGCUUGAGCUGAGGCGUCAAGCCUUUCCCUUCAGAUUUACACCAUUGGCUUCCUGAACGCAAGCCUUCAGACUCGCUAAAUUACAAUCUUCCCAGGGUCUCUGGCUGGCAGGAGGCAGAAGAGGCUCUUUGCAGCCUCUCCAGGUGGUUGUGAGUCCCCAUGUGGCAGUUGAGCUGUCCUGGAAAGGGCCCAACCGGAACAACCAGGCGCCAAAGGUUCAGCUCAUGUGGAGUUGGCUCCUGGGCAAGUCCAUAAGAGUUGCCAGCUGAAGAGAAAAACCACAAAAUGGUUUGCCCUGAAGCCUUUUCUGAUGUGUGGUCAAGAGUGCGCUGCAGCCUUUCUCCGCCCCUACUACCCUCCCCAUCCCCUGAAUAAACUCUAUUCUAUACUAAG
ensembl:lncRNA LOC102556390 uncharacterized LOC102556390